GACAGAGGGUGCAAACGUUGUUCGGAAUUACUGGGCGUAAAGCGCGUGUAGGCGGCUCUGCAAGUCGGAUGUGAAAGCCCCGAGCUUAACUUGGGAACUGCGCUCGAAACUACUUGGCUAGAGUGUGGCAGAGGGAGGUGGAAUUCCACGUGUAGCGGUGAAAUGCGUAGAGAUGUGGAGGAACACCGAUGGCGAAGGCAGCCUCCUGGGCCAACACUGACGCUCAUGCACGAAAGCGUGGGGAGCAAACAGG
rnacentral:rRNA from 1 species